rnacentral:misc_RNA from 1 species
GAUGAAGAACGUAGCGAAAUGCGAUAAGUAAUGUGAAUUGCAGAAUUCAGUGAAUCAUCGAAUCUUUGAACGCACAUUGCGCCCGCCAGUAUUCUGGCGGGCAUGCCUGUUCGAGCGUCAUUUCAACCCUCACGCCCCGCCUGGCGUUGGGGAUCGGCGCGGCCCUCUCCGGGCUGCCGGCCCCGAAAACUAGUGGCGGUCUCGCUGUAGUCCUCCUCUGCGCAGUAGCAACGCUCGCACUGGAACUCGGCGCGGCCACGCCGUAAAACACCCCACUUCUGAAAGUUGACCUCGGAUCAGGUAGGAAUACCCGCUGAACUUAAGCAUAUCAAUAAGCGGAGGA